GAAAAUGAGAUUUUUUUAAUGGUCUUAAGUAGAGCAGCAAUUUCGGGACAUGGACGUCCUGAAAAGUCCGCUAUGAGCCCGGAUGGCGAAUUGCGGAUGGUUGCGUUCGGUAAAGUUUUCUUCCUUAAGAACAUUUAGAAAAUUCAUUUUC
rnacentral:ncRNA from 1 species